rnacentral:rRNA from 1 species
AGAGAAGCGCAAACGGUGGAUGCCUUGGCAGUAAGAGGCGAAGAAGGACGUGGAAUCCUGCGAAAAGCUAUGGGGAGCUGGAAACGAGCGUUGAGCCAUAGAUGUCCGAAUGGGGGAACCCGGCUGCAGCGAUGCGGUCAUUUGCAUUUGAAUACAUAGGAUGCAAAGGCGAACUCGGGGAACUGAAACAUCUAAGUACCCGAAGGAAAAGAAAUCAAGAGAGAUUCUCCAAGUAGCGGCGAGCGAACGGGGAGGAGCCUGGCGUGAUUUAUUAUUGAACUGAGUAGAACAAUUUGGGAAAGUUGGCCGUAGAGGGUGAAAGCCCCGUAUACGAAGGUUUGAUGAGGAACUAGGCACGCGAACAAGUAGGCCGGGACACGUGAAAUCCUGGUUGAAGAUGGGUGGACCAUCAUCCAAGGCUAAAUACUACUUACUGACCGAUAGUGAACCAGUACCGUGAGGGAAAGGUGAAAAGAACCCCGGAGAGGGGAGUGAAAUAGAAUCUGAAACCGUUUGCGUACAAGCAGUGGGAGCAUAGUUUAGGCUGUGUGACUGCGUACCUUUUGUAUAAUGGGUCAGCGAGUUACUUUCAGUGGCGAGGUUAACUGAAUAAGGGAGCCGUAGAGAAAUCGAGUCUGAAUAGGGCGAUAGUCGCUGGGAGUAGACCCGAAACCGGGCGAUCUAGCCAUGUGCAGGAUGAAGGUUGGGUAACACCAACUGGAGGUCCGAACCGGGUAAUGUUGAAAAAUUAUCGGAUGACGUGUGGCUAGGAGUGAAAGGCUAAUCAAGCCCGGAGAUAGCUGGUUCUCCCCGAAAGCUAUUUAGGUAGCGCCUCGUGAAUGAUUACUGGGGGUAGAGCACUGUUUCGGCUAGGGGGCUGUCAUGGCUUACCAAACCGAUGCAAACUCCGAAUACCG